AAUUCUCAACCUCACCUGGUUUUCGAACUUGUGUGAUGGCUUGGACUUGGGAGUUUUGCAGGCUGCAGUUUACUGCGGCUCUGCUCUCCUUAAAUGUAUUAGCAGGUCUUUUACCUCUAUCCCAACGGUGUGAUAAUCUAUCUACGCUGCUGGUUUGGAGACCCUUAACCGGGGGACUGGCUUCUAACCGUCUGCAAAGACAAAUGAUAAC
rnacentral:misc_RNA from 1 species